UACGUAGGGGGCAAGCGUUGUCCGGAUUUAUUGGGCGUAAAGAGCGUGUAGGCGGCCUGAAAGGUCAGCUGUGAAAACUCGAGGCUCAACCUCGAGACGUCGGUUGAAACCAUCUGGCUAGAGUCCGGAAGAGGAGAGUGGAAUUCCCGGUGUAGCGGUGAAAUGCGCAGAUAUCGGGAAGAACACCCGUGGCGAAAGCGGCUCUCUGGGACGGUACUGACGCUGAGGAGCGAAAGCGUGGGGAGCGAACAGG
rnacentral:rRNA from 1 species